AUGAACGCUGGCGGCGUGCCUAAUACAUGCAAGUCGAGCGAACGGACGAGGAGCUUGCUUCUCUGAUGUUAGCGGCGGACGGGUGAGUAACACGUGGAUAACCUACCUAUAAGACUGGGAUAAUUUCGGGAAACCGGAGCUAAUACCGGAUAAUAUUUUGAACCGCAUGGUUCAAAAGUGAAAGACGGUCUUGCUGUCACUUAUAGAUGGAUCCGCGCUGCAUUAGCUAGUUGGUAAGGUAACGGCUUACCAAGGCAACGAUGCAUAGCCGACCUGAGAGGGUGAUCGGCCACACUGGAACUGAGACACGGUCCAGACUCCUACGGGAGGCAGCAGUAGGGAAUCUUCCGCAAUGGGCGAAAGCCUGACGGAGCAACGCCGCGUGAGUGAUGAAGGUCUUCGGAUCGUAAAACUCUGUUAUUAGGGAAGAACAUAUGUGUAAGUAACUGUGCACAUCUUGACGGUACCUAAUCAGAAAGCCACGGCUAACUACGUG
rnacentral:rRNA from 1 species